rnacentral:rRNA from 1 species
GAUGAACGCUGGCGGCGUGCCUAAUACAUGCAAGUCGAGCGAACAGACGAGGAGCUUGCUCCUCUGACGUUAGCGGAGGACGGGUGAGUAACACGUGGAUAACCUACCUAUAAGACUGGGAUAACUUCGGGAAACCGGAGCUAAUACCGGAUAAUAUAUUGAACCGCAUGGUUCAAUAGUGAAAGACGGUUUUGCUGUCACUUAUAGAUGGAUCCGCGCCGCAUUAGCUAGUUGGUAAGGUAACGGCUUACCAAGGCGACGAUGCGUAGCCGACCUGAGAGGGUGAUCGGCCACACUGGAACUGAGACACGGUCCAGACUCCUACGGGAGGCAGCAGUAGGGAAUCUUCCGCAAUGGGCGAAAGCCUGACGGAGCAACGCCGCGUGAGUGAUGAAGGUCUUCGGAUCGUAAAACUCUGUUAUUAGGGAAGAACAAAUGUGUAAGUAACUAUGCACGUCUUGACGGUACCUAAUCAGAAAGCCACGGUUAACUACGUG